CAUCGCCUCUUGAUUAUAUAUAAGAGGUCCAGCCUGCCCAGUGAAAUUUUUAACGGCCGCGGUAUACUGACCGUGCGAAGGUAGCAUAAUCACUUGUUCUUUAAAUAGGGACUCGUAUCAACGGCACCACGAGGGCUAUACUGUCUCCACUCUCCAAUCAGUGAAACUGAUCUCCCCGUGAAGAAGCGGGGAUAUAACUAUAAGACGAGAAGACCCCAUGGAGCUUUAAAUUCAACAUGCACCUAUUUAAUUAAUCACCAACUUAGCUUCAAAAAGCUGCAUGUUAAUUUUAGGCUGGGAGGGCCGCGGAGUAAAAUUAAACCUCCACAACAAAUGGGUUAAUACCCUUAUCUUCGAUUGACAAAUCUAAGAAUCACCAAAAUGAUGUUAAAUGAUCCGAUAAUUCGAUUAAUGGACCAAGUUACCCUGGGGAUAACAGCGCAAUCCUCUUCAAGAGCCCAUAUCGACAAGCGGGUUUACGACCUCGAUGUUGGAUCAGGGUAUCCUAGUGGUGCAACCGCUACUAAUGG
rnacentral:rRNA from 1 species